CCCCUCGGCUGCUCCAGGUGGGGUGUGUUCUGGGGAUGGUCUGGACAUCGGCGGACGCGGGGGCUGAGCUAGCUGUGGGGGACUUUGAGUGCUUGGCGGCCUUGCCCCUUCCCCUACAGCCAACGUCCCCCUCUCCAGGUCAGCAACACUUGGAGUAGACAGAGGUUGGGGUCUGGCCAGCGUGGGCUGACCUCUGCAAGAAGGCCAGAGCUGUGCCCCAGCCCCGGGUCGCUCAUCAUUUUUCCCUCAGUUCCAGCUCCUUACUCCUGAGGGGCUAGGAGACCAUCCCUCCUCUUGCUCCGCGUGGGCCCUGCCUCCCAGCACCCUGGAGCUGACCCGUGUGCAGCUGUGGCGGCCUGCAGGGGAAGGGGGUGCUGCUUCCUUCCUCUCCUCUCUUGGACCUGGGAUAGAAGAGGAGGGAGAGUGAAGCUGUCCAGGUUUUUAAAAGCAAGCUGAGCAUCUUCAGGCUGGGAAGACCUUCUGGAAGCAACUGGCAUCUCAUCCUCUUCUCUAAGGAGGACCAGGCCCCAAAUAUAGCAGGUAGGUGUGCAUGUGGAUGAGCCAGGAAGGGCUGGAAGUCCCAGGAACAGAACAGAACUCAGGUGUCCUAUCUCCCAGUAGGCCAUUGGCCAGGCACCU